AAUAAAAAAAAACUACAAAAAAUAAAAAAAAUGUAGAUCAAUUGAAAAUUUGCUUAGAUUUGGCCAUUCUGUUAUACUAACAGUAAUAUUAAAGGUGAACAGCCCCUUUAAUGAAUUGCCAAUACCAUGUAUUAACCCACCACAGAAAACAUUGUAGGAAAAAUUUAGACAGGACAAAUUAAAUGGCAAUUUCAUGCCUAUUACUCACAAAACACUGCAGGGAUAAUUACUGUAUUGAGCUCUAUGUAAUGGGUAAGUAGGAUUGUCUCCAUCGUCUUUCCUUAGCAGCACGGCAUGAAGCUCUAGGAGCAUCAGACCUCUAUAACAACAGGUGAGACUGUUGAAUCAUUACGUCUUUAUCUAUAAGAGCUUUAAAGCAGUUCAUACCAGAAGGUGGUUUGCAAUAUGCGAUGAGAUUUAUACAUGCAAGUUGAAAAACAUUUGUGAGUACCCACCUAAAAAGUUCAUAUAAGGAAAGUUAAAAAGUUUCUUCUUUACAUUGCCUAUGGUGGUGGUGAGAGCAAUAAGGGAUUAACAAAUAAGCGGUGGAGUUAAUCAAUCUUUUUGAGCACAUAAAGUGGUGCUAUUUUUAAAGCAAUAUUACCCUAUAUAUCUGUUUGUCUGUUACUGUGCCUUUUGCACUGGCUCUUUUUUUAUAUACUUAUAAUAAUUAUUGUCCCGCAUGAGUUAUACAGGACAUAUAUCAUGGAAAAUACUCUCUGAAAAAAUGGUAGCUUAAUUGCAGUUUGAAUUUAAUAUACACUAACCUCACAACAUAUCAGGAUGAAUAUUGUAUUCAGCACAAUACCAGUUGUAAUUACAAGGGGACAUAAAACAUGAGAUUGGCAUUCCCUACCACAAGAGUUUGGGGGAGGAGAAAUUACCUCUGUGUCAGCAGCUGCCCUGCUGAAGGUAUUCCAUACUUUCCUCCAGAACCCCCAAAAUCUCUUUUCUAGAAUGCUGGUUUUGCCCUCAAAGCUUAAAUUAACUAGCUGGAACUAGGGGGAGGUUCAAAGAUCACCUCCAGCCAAUCCAGCCUACCUGUACCAGGAAUCAAACUUGAAGGAGACAGCUUGCAGGCAUGAUAGAUGAUCCCUGCACCAAAGUCAUUAUGAAAAAAGAAACAGUCACAAGUAGGUUUUUUAGUAAUAGGGUUUCACUAACUUUCUUUUUUAAAGUGUCUCAUAAAACUACAGUACACACAAGGAUAAAAUUGAUUGUAGAAAAGAGAAGAGAAAAAAAAACCUUGUUUUGUGACUACAAAUUGCCUUCAACAGUUAAAACUAACCCUCACUUCUAUAGACCGUGUGUCAAUUCUUUAAGCGACCAACUUUUUCAUUCACCAAUCAGUUAAUACAUAUAUGUAAAUUCCUCAACUUAUACCAUAAAUAUAAAGUGCAAGUGCUUAAAUAAAUACAACCAAUAAAAUAUUGAUUGUCACUACACCGACUCUGUGUGUAUUUUAUCAAUUAUUAAUUCUAAAAAGACGCUAGUACCAAUUAGAUUAGCGAAUUCCUAGUAUUAUAUUAGUUAAAAAAUGAAUUGUAAUUGAUUGUUAUAAAGUGCCUGUGCUGCAUUAGUUGAUAAAAGACCUCUUAAUUCAUAUUUAUCGUGAUAAUCGAGGUAAUAAAUACGAAAAGUGACCAGUGCUAAUAAUAAAAAAGGUUGAUUGAGUAAGUUUAAAUUAGUGCUUCUCAGUUGCAGAUUAACCCAGCCGCUCCUUGAGGAUAAGUGAGGAAUUGUGAAAAUAGAUAGAUAAAUCUCGGACCAACAAGUUUCCUUCCUUGACCUCCUAAUAAGAAAAGGCGAAACUGGGGAACUUAUAACUAACAACUUUAGAAAAGAGACAGCCACCAAUUCUCUUCUAAGCUCCUCGAGCUUCCAUCCCCCUAAUGUAAAAAAGGCCCUACCCACAGGGGAAUUUCUCAGAUUGAGACGCAACUGCACCACACAGGCUCUGUUCAAAACACAAGCUAAGGAUUUGAAAAAUAGACUUAAAGAAAGAGGAUAUUCUAAUACACAACUCAAAAAUGCAUACCAUAAAGCACUUUGCACAGAAAGACACACAUUAUUAAAGAAAAAAGAAAAACAAGAAAAACCUGAAACAGAAACCAACCUAAGAUUCAUUAGUACCUACAAUACAAAUAGUAGAGAGAUUCGAGACAUUCUUAACAAACAUUGGAGGUACUUUUGAUGGAUGAGACCUUAGAAUCCCUAUUACCCAAACAAGUACAAGUAUGUUAUAAAAAAAAGCCCAAAUUUGAGGGAUUUGAUGUGCCACAGUCACUUUGGAAAUAAAAAGAGUAACCACAAAAUAAAGGGGUCAUACCCAUGUGGUGAAUGCAAUAUGUGCAAACAAAUGAUAAAAAAAGAGACUUUUUUGGAUAGGUUUGAGAAAGAACGACAUAUACAGAACUACAUAAAUUGUAGAAGUAGAGGAAUAAUCUAUUGCAUUGAAUGUCCCUGUAAACUCAAAUACAUUGGAAUGAGAUCUCAGAUGUUGAAACAACGUAUACAGAAACACUGUAGCACUAUUAGAAAUGUAGAAGGAGAUCUAAAAAGUGAAAGGAUACUUUCAACAGUAGCAAAACAUUUCCGAGAAAAUCAUAAUGCCAAUCCCAAUAAACUCUCUUUUUGGGCAAUUGAACAAAUCCAGUUAGGUAUUAGAGGAGGUGAUUUGGAACAACAGCUCCUCAAAAGAGAAAGCUACUGGAUUUUUAAUUUAAACACUGUUUUCCCUUAUGGAAUAAACGAAAAUAACUUAUUCACUGCCUUUAUUUAAUGUCAGAAUAAAUACUCAAUUAUAGCUUAUUCACUGUGACCCCCCUUUCCUAUUUAGGGCUCCAAUUUUGAAAAACUCCAAUAUAUACAACCUUUUAAUAAAUGGAGCCAAAUGAUCCGACAGAGUCUAAUAAAUAUAAGGAGGGAGGAUCGAUCGUUUUUUUCUUAAAGAUUUGCAUACGUGCCCUCCCAGAUCGGCAUUAAAGAGGACCUGUCACUUUUCAAACAUAUGCAUAUACUGUCUGCAAUUCGAUUAAACAGACCAGCAGUUAAGAGAGAGUUUUUAAAGUUGUACAUAACCUUAUUUAUUCUUACUUCAAAAAUAGCCUGACUGGAAAGCGCCAUUUUGAAUAAAGAGCAGUAAAAUCUUCCGUCCUCGCACCUCUGAGUCUGAAAUCCCGCGCAUGCGCACUGACCAGAAGAUCCUUAUCAGGAAGAAAGGAGCAGAGCAAGUAAAAGCAUCUUGCGCCGUCUUCUACAUUCCACAGCAAUUAGCUGACACUAAACGAGUGAAAACAUCGCUGCUGUACUUACGCAUUCCCCAAGAAUUACAAGAAUCCACAGACACUGGUUAUCUUGGCUGUCGGGGGAAGGUCCGCUUCUGCCAGACAACUGCUUUAUUGUUCGCUUCUUCUGUGCAUCGUUCAGGAUACAGAGACCAUGGAAUGUGUGGAACCUUCUACAUCAUCUGAUAUUCCACUCUCAAGAGAAGGAAAGAUGGCUUACAUUGAUGCUCAGCUAAGGGCUAAGCAUGGGGAUGGUAAAGAUGAACCAUGCUUCCCUCAAAAUCCUAGGAGGUCAGCUUCAGAUCAGAAUUCUGAAAACUUUGCAGUGCAACCCUCCCCUAGAAUUGGCAACACUGACUGGUGCAUAUGUGACAACUGUGUGGCAAUGCCAACCGAUCUUGAAUCAAAGUGUUGCAAAGAAAUCGACAAUAUUAUUAAUGUCACGGAUGAGGAAUUUUCAUGCAUCUUACAACAUCCCUUUUUUUAUGAUUAUUGCCAACACAGAGAAAGGAUAUAAAUAAACCUAAAAAUGAUCGGUCAGCAAAGGUAUCCACCUAAUGUCCGAGACCUUAACCGGUACCUUGUAUUUUAAAAAUAUAUUGAUAUUUGCCUUACAUAAGUUGUAUCAAUAGUGUUAGGCUUUUGACUAAAUACUACAUUUCAAAUUUAAUGGGCAUUAAGUCAUCCUUCCAGAGGUUAUUUUUAAUUUCUUCACAUUGCUCAUGCUGAGUGGGAUGUGAAGAGCAGUCACUUGCAAACAACAAGCCUUUUAACAAUUUAAAGGUUGGUCAAGAAUCUUUUUGUAUGAUUAAAGUCACAAUUAAUUGCUACUACAUCAUUUGAAUUACACACUUGUAAUUAUGGUCAAAGAAGUUUUUGAAACAUUUACACAUUGAUCUAAAUAUUACACUCUUUAAUAAACUUUCUUUUGAAUUUCUUUAUUAAUAGUAAAAUGUAAGACUUUUAAGACUGCUGGAAAUCAAUUGUGAUUGUCCAGUUUAAUAGCUAUUAAGGGGUUGUUCACAUUUGAGUUAUGUUAUGAUAUAGAGAGUGAUAUUCUGAGACAAUUUG